CUACGGGAGGCAGCAGUGGGGAAUAUUGCACAAUGGGCGCAAGCCUGAUGCAGCGACGCCGCGUGAGGGAUGACGGCCUUCGGGUUGUAAACCUCUUUCACCAGGGACGAAGCGCGAGUGACGGUACCUAUAGAAGAAGCACCGGCCAACUACGUGCCAGCAGCCGCGGUAAUACGUAGGGUGCGAGCGUUGCCCGGAAUUACUGGGCGUAAAGAGCUCGUAGGUGGUUUGUCGCGUUGUCCGUGAAAUCUCACAGCUUAACUGUGAGCGUGCGGGCGAUACGGGCAGACUGGAGUACUGCAGGGGAGGCUGGAAUUCCUGGUGUAGCGGUGGAAUGCGCAGAUAUCAGGAGGAACACCGGUGGCGAAGGCGGGUCUCUGGGCAGUAACUGACGCUGAGGAGCGAAAGCGUGGGGAGCAAACAGGAUUAGAUACCCCGGUAGUCC
rnacentral:rRNA from 1 species